GACGAACGCUGGCGGCGUGCUUAACACAUGCAAGUCGAACGGAAAGGCCCUGCUUUUGUGGGGUGCUCGAGUGGCGAACGGGUGAGUAACACGUGAGUAACCUGCCCUUGACUUUGGGAUAACUUCAGGAAACUGGGGCUAAUACCGGAUAGGAGCUCCUGCUGCAUGGUGGGGGUUGGAAAGUUUCGGCGGUUGGGGAUGGACUCGCGGCUUAUCAGCUUGUUGGUGGGGUAGUGGCUUACCAAGGCUUUGACGGGUAGCCGGCCUGAGAGGGUGACCGGCCACAUUGGGCCUGAGAUGCGGCCCAGACUCCUACGGGAGGCAGCAGUGGGGAAUAUUGCACAAUGGGCGGAAGCCUGAUGCAGCAACGCCGCGUGCGGGAUGACGGCCUUCGGGUUGUAACCCGCUUUCGCCUGUGACGAAGCGUGAGUGACGGUAAUGGGUAAAGAAGCACCGGCUAACUACGUG
rnacentral:rRNA from 1 species